UUGCUGGUGGUCUAGUGGUUAAGAUUCUACACUUCUAGUGCAGCGGGCACAGGUUUGAUUCCUGGUCAGGGAA
rnacentral:tRNA from 1 species